ACCCCGUUAUCCGCCAGAAAACUACAAGUGAAAAACUUCAAACUCAAAGGACUUGGCGGUGUCCCAUACCGACCUAGAGGAGCCUGUCCUAUAAUCGAUACCCCCCGUUCUACCCAACCUCCACUAGCACCUUUCACCCUAUAUACCGCCGUCGACAGUCUACCCCAUGAGGGUCUAAUAGUAGACAUAAUAGCUUAACCCGCUAACACGUCAGGUCAAGGUGUAGCACAUGUUGAGGAAAAGAUUGGCUACUUUUUUUAACCUAAAAAAGACAAAAUACAGCAUGAAACACUGCAUGAAGGUGAAUUUAGUAGUAAGUUUGAACAAGAGUGUUCACCUUAACAACGCUCUGGGACGCCCACCCACCGCCCG
rnacentral:rRNA from 1 species